UACGGGGGGAGCAAGCGUUGUUCGGAUUUACUGGGCGUAAAGGGCGCGUAGGCGGUCAGCACAAGUCAGUUGUGAAAUCUCCGGGCUUAACUCGGAAAGGUCAACUGAUACUGUGCGACUAGAGUGCAGAAGGGGCAACUGGAAUUCUCGGUGUAGCGGUGAAAUGCGUAGAUAUCGAGAGGAACACCUGCGGCGAAGGCGGGUUGCUGGGCUGACACUGACGCUGAGGUGCGAAAGCGUGGGGAUCAAACAGG
rnacentral:rRNA from 1 species